ensembl:lncRNA
GAAGAGAUCCCGGUCGCCAUUUCAAGGUAUCAUGAUGACAGACGCCCGCUGCUGCGCUCUGUCAAUGAACUUCCGGUUUAGAGUGUACCCCCUAGCCUCGUUUUGGAUUUCAAGAUGGACGGUGAAUAAGGUUUUUCCGGCGCCUGGCAUUUUCAUUCGGAGACGGAUGCGCGGCCUGCCGGGCUGGUUGGAGGUAGAUGGCCGUGGUAACGUAUGGAAGUUGCUGAAGGCCUAAUGAGAAGUUUUUUGGAAGGCGUAGGCUACGGUACACAGGAACACGCAGGAACGCUGGACCGCCUGGGGGAGGGGUGCGGACGGUCAGACAGGAGACGCUCCAGAGGGAGCAUCGACCGACCGAUACAUUGACCGCAUUACUGCAGAAGCUGCACCGAUCCGUCUGUCAAUCUCCCGUUCCAUCCUUACCUCACUCGUGAACAAGACCCCUAGAAAACUCCUCCACUUGAGGCAAGCACUCUUCACCAACCUGAAGUGGGCAAGCCACCCUUUUCCGACUGAGGACCAUGGCCUCGGAUUUGGAGGUACUGAUUCUCAUC